AACGAACGCUGGCGGCAUGCCUAACACAUGCAAGUCGAACGAGACCUUCGGGUCUAGUGGCGCACGGGUGCGUAACGCGUGGGAACCUGCCCUUAGGUUCGGAAUAACUCCCCGAAAGGGGUGCUAAUACCGGAUAAUGUCUUCGGACCAAAGAUUUAUCGCCUUUGGAUGGGCCCGCGUUGGAUUAGCUAGUUGGUAGGGUAAAAGCCUACCAAGGCGAAGAUCCAUAGCUGGUCUGAGAGGAUGAUCAGCCACACUGGGACUGAGACACGGCCCAGACUCCUACGGGAGGCAGCAGUGGGGAAUAUUGGACAAUGGGCGAAAGCCUGAUCCAGCACUGCCGCGUGAGUGAUGAAGGCCUUAGGGUUGUAAAGCUCUUUUCCCCGGGAUGAUAAUGACAGUACCGGGAGAAUAAGCUCCGGCUAACUCCGU
rnacentral:rRNA from 1 species